rnacentral:rRNA from 1 species
GACAUAGGUGGCGACCGUUAUCCGGAAUUAUUGGGCGUAAAGGGUGCGUAGGUGGUUUAAUAAGUUACUGGUGGUAAAUCGGGGCUCAACCUCGUGGAAGUCAGUAAUACUAUUAGACUAGAGGACCGGAGGAGUUAACGGAAUGGCUCAUGUAGGGGUAAAAUCCGCAAAUAUGAGUUAGAACACCAAUUGGCGAAGGCAGUUAACUAUUCGGUUCCUGACAUUGAGGCAUGAAAGCGUGGGGAGCAAACCGG